rnacentral:misc_RNA from 1 species
GAUGAAGAACGUAGCGAAAUGCGAUACGUGGUGUGAAUUGCAGAAUCCCGUGAACCAUCGAGUCUUUGAACGCAAGUUGCGCCUCAAGCCAUUAGGUUGAGGGCACGUCUGCCUGGGCGUCACAUAUCGUUGCCUGAUGCCAGUUUCCUCGUGAUGGGUGACUGUGCAGGGCGAAUGAUGGCUUCCCGUGAGCAUUGUUGCCUCAUGGUUGGUUGAAAAUUGAGUCCUUGGUAGGGAGCGCCGUGAUAGAUGGUGGUUGAGUGACGAACGAGACCCAAUCAUGUGAGACCCCUACCGAAUUUGGCCUUCAUGACCCACAUGCGUCUUUGGAACGCUCAUGACGAGACCUCAGGUCAGGCGGGGCUACCCGCUGAGUUUAAGCAUAUCAAUAAGCGGAGGA